UUACGGAGAUUACGGAGCAAAUCUUCUGGUGUAUGAUGUGUGUGGCGCCGAAGUCGGGAUGGCGACCACGUUCCCCGGGUCCCGCAAGGGACUGGACACCGUUCCUGACAUGCAUGAUUUAUGUUUCAAAUACAGACGCUCGAUUUGGUGAUCCGCCAGCUUAGGGUAUCCACUCUGCUAUCUUGGAGCGCUCCCUUGUUCCGGAGCCUAUAUUUUGGUACAAACUCUUCCGUUGCAUAUAUGUACGCCUAUUCAAGGGUACGGCGGGGCCCUGUCCCGUCAUGUGAUUCUGUUGUUGCUCUUAGAGGUCUGUAGACAUGUAUGUGGGUUGUGUGUGGUUAUUGUCCAGCUAUGUCUGUGUGAUUUAUGUUUUGGGCGGAUCCAUUCGCCGUGGUAUCCUUAUUGGCUCGUAUAUGUAUAUUUUGGGAUGAUGUGUUUUAUGACAGCCUGGCCGGCUUCCGUGUGGAAGAUAUGUUUGUAUAUGACAGUUUGCGACGACGUCUGACCUUUGUAUCUGUAUAAGUCAUUUGUAUGCUGAUUUUAGUUAGUGUGUGUACGAGUGCCCAGCUCGGGCACUAGUCACGGCCUACGGGGUUGGGUCGUGACACCAGCCAUUGACUGUUUGGUCUGGAAGUGAGUAUUCAUUUACUUAAUCAUGUAAUGUACAUUCUUUUGCAUUAGAGCUAGCUUCUUCAAAAACAGAUCUUCAAUAUGGACAACUUGGUGCAGGAUAAGAAAAUUUCCGGGACAAACUGAGUUAACAUUGAGUGCUGAGGUUGAGUUAAUUUCGACAAUCACAGAGAAGAAGUCCUUGACUUGGUCGCUAAUUCAGAUGGAAUUUCAGAUUCCCAUGUUUACAGCAUCUGGUUUGCGUGUUCGGUUUCUUAAGGUGUGGGAGAAGAGUGGCUACAACACAGUUGAGUGGGUUCGUUAUAUCACUAAAGCUGGUUCGUACGAGAUAAGGUGCUAAGAUGAAAGAACUACUUGAGUUGAGGUUGUCUUCGAUUGAUAGCUGGUGUAAAAAUUAAUCUUUUUGAGGGAUGGAAUCAUACUAACACUUAUGCACCGGAUCCUGUCAGAACUUCAAAUGUGCGUGGGCAAGAAUAGUACUACGAUGGGUGACCCGCGGAGAGUUCUCAUGUUUCAUCUGUUACUGACCCCAACUAGUUUGGAAUUGAGGCGGAGCUUGAUUAUCUUUUUUAUUUGUUUUCCUUUUUUUUUUUUGUUGUUGUUGUUUUUUUUUUUUUUUGUUGUUGUUGUGAGUGAUUUGUGAGGACUGACAGAAGAGACCUUUAGUUAAUACUUGUCUAGUCCUUUUGCUUAUUGUUGUUGGUUUGUUUGAUAUAUUUUCCCACACAAAUUACUGUAUCUUUGUCUUGUUGGUUCCUGGAAAUGAAUUGGAAGCUAUUUAACCUUCUAUUAAUUGAAAUGUUUUCUUUUGGUUCUAUCAUAUGUGGAGUAAUGACAUAGAGUUUGAAAAAGUAGACUAAAUCGUGUAACACUUCCUUUUUUAAUUGUUGAAGUUGUUUAAUAUUUUAUGUAUUUGUAUUAGUUUGGUGAAUUGUUGGCAGCUAUUUGAGCUGGUUUUACUUGAGUAUAAAAUUGUUUUCAUCUUGACAGGUGGGCAGUU